GAAUUUAAUAUUGUAUUAGUUAAUUGAUUAGUUAUAUAUUAUAAGUUGAUAUAAUAUUUUAUUGGGAGGAUAGUUAAAUUUGAUGAACUUAAAUAAUAAAAUAACAUAAAUUAAUGAAUUUUGAAUUAUGAGUUAGUAAAGUAAAAUUAAUUACCUUAGGGAUAACAGCGUAAUAUUUUUAGUGAGAUCAUAUUUAUAAAAGUGUUUGC
rnacentral:rRNA from 1 species